CUGGGGAAAGAUCAAUGUUGAAAUUGUGGAGAAAGGCCACGGAUUGACACUUUUUUCAUAAAUUUUCCUUUUUAUUCAUUCAGAAUAAAAAAAGUGGUCCAAAGAAUCUCUUGUUGUCCAGUCUGGUUAAAAUAUCAACACAACGCAGAGAGAAGAUAAAGACCGGUCACAGUGGCAUGCGGUUACAAAAAUUGUAUAAUUUCUUUUCAUAUUUUAAACUGACCACACAUUUAAUGAAAAUGAUGUGCAGCAUUUAAUACAUACGUUAAUUUGAGGAAGGAAAGACGAAGAUCCAGUGAUUCCUCCUCCAACAGCACCUACAACAGCUGCGACUCCAAGAACACCUGCAGAGAU
ensembl:lncRNA